GAGGAGAGAGAGAGAGAGAGAGGAGACACUCAAAAGAAAUUAAAAAAAUUAAUGGCCACGUUAGCAUAGCUUUUUAAAAAUAACCUGAAUGUUCUUUUACCUCAAACUUGUAUCUUUUCUUAGUAACUCAAGCAAAAUUUUCAUCACAUUAAGAAUCACGACAAUGACAAUAUUAUAUGUCAUUCGUCUACAGAUGAACAAGAAAUCUACUCAUUGAGCCAGUAACCCCCGUCACAUAGUGCAAGAGAUUAGAGUAACCCCUGCAUCCUCCUUCCUUUGAAUAGUUGGGAAAAAAAAAUCAUAAAACAUAUCUACAUGCAUAAUGCAGAGGAUUUCUAAAAUGCAUAAACUAGAAUACCCAAAAAUAUGAAGAAAACAUGUAACAAAUAAAUUAGUGUUCUAUUAAAUGUUUGCAAUACAUGAGUUCAGAAGAGAAGAAAUUCUCACUAUUUCAGUUUGAAUCACAACUCCAAUUCAGUUCAAAUUACUCUUUGCCACCUCAUCUGAAGCAAAAAAAAGUGAAAUGACACACAGGCAUGAGAACAACUUAUGCACAGUUCUGAUCAACAAUUGAGUUCAGGUUUUUCACUCUUCCUCUAAACCUUUUUAAAGUUGAGCAAGAACAAUCAGCCUGAUCUAAGAAAAAUGUUCAUCCCUUCAAAUUUCACACAUCAUUUUUUCCCAGUUGGCUGAUUAGCCCACUAAAAAUAAGGCUCCUAGUCAGCUAAAGCUGUUUUUAUGCGGCUAACCACCAAAGAGAUACAAAAACCUGCUCAUUACUGAUGAUUGACAGCCAGCGUCCCAUAUUCACCAAGCUGCUCAGAUGACAGUUAGAUGAAACUGGUAUAUAAUUGUGAUUAAUAUUCCAUCAAAACUAGAUGCAAGGAAUAACCAUAAAUAUUAACUUUUAAACCUCCAUAGUUUCCACCAUAAGCAUCAAGAUCAACCAAGGUUUACUUUUUUUUUGGUUGAUUCACCUAAAAUAAUAGCAUAAAAAUAAAUAACCAAAGGCUUAACCAAAAUAAGUUGCUAACAUACUUCCAAAAAACCUAGGUCCUGCUACUACAACAGAAAGCGUGCCAUGACAGAGGAACCAAUCAACUGUUAUUUAUGUAAAAAUGAAGAUAAAAUCUCCAAAAUUUGCACAUCCAUCAUACAGGUAGCAAUGCAUCAUCCCUAACAAGCAAGCUUACUAUCCCAAGGAAUGACUGUAUGAUGUACUAAAAUGUAAGUAAUCAAUAUUGCUAUCUUAAAGAAAAAGUAAAACUUAUUCCAAUGAAAAAAGAACUCACUAUCCUUCACAACAGACUAUUUAAGUGUUACGAUAAUUAGUAGUAAAUUCACAUGGGAAAGAGACAUUACUUGAAACCAAGAUGCCAUCAUCUUCAUUGUUAUACACAAUUGCAGCUUUGAACCCAGCCUUCUGUGCUCUUCUAACUUUAUCCUCAAAGCUACACCCUCCUCUUAUA
rnacentral:misc_RNA from 1 species